ensembl:lncRNA uncharacterized LOC114450712
GACGGCCCAUGUGCAGCGUCAGAUUUUUCAAAGGAACUAUACCAUGGAGCAAGAUUAAAGAACUUCAAGUACUUUCAAAACCUCUGUGUCCUUUUGAAGCUAUUGUGGUGGUGACAGUUCGUGAUCAAAUGGUCUGUGUGGAUCCAAAAACUUGACAGAGACAUCGAUCCAGACCCAUGAUGCUCCUCUUCAUUGUGGGCCAGCUGCUUUUAAGAGCUCUUCUGCUCCAAUCAAUUGAAGACAAUGAAGAGUGGAAGACACACAUGACGCAGAGGGCUGGUGGUUCUGAGCGUUUUGGGGAGUUCUGCCUGCAUCUUCCUGAUGACUCUCAGUGGACCAGCUCCAAACCUGACAUUCCUAUGACCACACAGCAGCUGACCCCACCAGAGGAACCCAUAAUGCGCCACAUACCUUUUCAGUUGGCUUCAGGCCGUGAGCCCGAGUCGACAACUGAGUCUGACCUGAUUGAGGAGAUACAAGUCAUCACCACUGAUGGAAUACACAGUGGUUGUAAGUGCAACAAGGAAAAUAUGAAAAAGCCGACUGACACCUCCAGGAUCCAGAGCUUAACAAAGAGAUACCCCACUGACACGUGUAGCUCUACUGAAUACAUUGAGACUCUAGCUGAUGGCAGGGAGGUCUGUGUGAAACUGUUCAGCUUCUUAGAAUGGUUUCGUAUGUUUUUGAGUCCUAUGCCAGCAAGCGACAGAAGUGGCGCUGAAUUAGUUUUAACUUCGCCUUCACUUUGCAACUUCUGCGGCCAGUUCACUGCAUUGGAUGACGUUGACCUAAUAGAUGUUAAAUCCUUAGAGGUGGAGAAGCCAUCAGAUCAUUGUCCUGACCUCGUUCGGAUGAACAUGAAGAAUGGUGCGGUUUUGUGUUCGGAUUUGAGCGAUUUGGAGAUAGUGGUGAAGAAUCUGGAAGUCUUCCUGCAGCGUACAGACGCCAGCCCUCCAAAAAACAAGAUGAGUAGAUGCCACUGCCGUAAGAAACGUCCCAAAUCCUUCACAUUCACAAAGCUAAAAAUCUACAUCCCCAGUGAAGUGUGUCUCCCAGCUCAGUUUGUUGAGGCAGUGAUGGAUGAGGAGGAGGUGUGCAUGACUGUACCCGACCUCUUAGAAUUACUUGAAUAUCUGGACCCAGGUUCCCAGGCGGUGCUUGAUUACGAAGCUACAAUUACAUUUGUAAGCUGCAUAGGCUGCAUACCCAGAGAUCUCAGUGAUUUAAAAGAUGCCCGAUCCCUUACGAUCAAUAAACCCCAUCCUAGCUGUCUAGUCGUCCUCCUUUUCACUUUGGCAGAUAACACAAUAGCCUGUGUGGACUCGAACCAUCCAUCAUAUUCAGAUCUGCUGAAGAGUCUUUAAGUCCACUGAGGGAGAAGCCUGAAAUCUGAUCCAUGCCUCCAAUUCUCCUGAUAGCUCUUAAAAACCGUUUUUGUGUUCAUUUAAACAUGACAACUUGGACCUUUUGACAGAGAUAGUAUCAUUUCUUCUGUUUCAAAGCUAAGCUAGCUUCUUAUGCUAAAGUAGGCUAAUUAUUUACUGUUUCUGGCAUAGAUGUGAGUAAUAAACCUUUUUUGAAUUCUUCUCUUUGACUCUAU